rnacentral:rRNA from 1 species
UACGGGGGGGGCAAGCGUUGUUCGGAAUUACUGGGCGUAAAGCGUGCGCAGGCGGUUCGCCAAGUCAGGUGUGAAAUCCCCGGGCUUAACCUGGGAAUUGCGCUUGAAACUAGCGGGCUUGAGUGCGGCAGAGGGGGGUGGAAUUCCACGUGUAGCAGUGAAAUGCGUAGAGAUGUGGAGGAACACCGAUGGCGAAGGCAGCCCCCUGGGUCGACACUGACGCUCAUGCACGAAAGCGUGGGGAGCAAACAGG